UACGUAGGGUGCAAGCGUUGUCCGGAAUUAUUGGGCGUAAAGAGCUCGUAGGCGGUUUGUCGCGUCUGCUGUGAAAACUCGGGGCUUAACUCCGGGCCUGCAGUGGGUACGGGCAGACUAGAGUGCGGUAGGGAGACUGGAAUUCCUGGUGUAGGCGGUGAAAUGCGCAGAUAUCAGGAAGAACACCCGUGGCGAAGGGCGGGCUCUCUGGGACGGUACUGACGCUGAGACGCGAAAGCGUGGGAGCGAA
rnacentral:rRNA from 1 species